UCUUGCGGAUGAGCAAAGAAAGUGGUUUCCUAAGAAGAAUCAGAAAACUAUUUUUGGUGAAAAUGCCGUGAA
rnacentral:pre_miRNA from 2 species